GCUACUUUGCUUCAAUAAUUAUUCAAUAACUGAGAAGUCACUGGUCCUUCCAACUGAAAUUUUCUUUCCCUCCAAGUGUUUCUUCUGUGGCUGCAUCACAAGUGAUGAAGCAAAUUAAGCUGCUUCCACCAGCCUUCUUCUAGCUUUUUGAAUUUUAGAAGAAAAAUAAACAUAGUAAAUGACCUGUGUAAAUUCUUGAUAUGGUUUGAUCAUGAACAGAAUUGGAUGUAGAAUGGUGGAAAUAUCAAGAUAUGAUGCCUCAUCAUUCAACAAACUAAUUGAGCAGAUUCCCCUCCACCCCUUCUUACUUGCUUAGUCAUUCUAG
rnacentral:lncRNA from 1 species